GCCUUCGUAGAUCAUGAUAAUCACCUCGCUUGCAUAGGACAUCCUAGAUAAGUACAUGUAACGAAGAGAAGGAGGUUCGAUUCCUCCCGAAGGCC